rnacentral:pre_miRNA from 1 species
UUUCUUCUUGACUACCUUACGCUUUUGAUUGUUACUAAACUUUUGUCUUGUUUAUACGACAGUUUGGAACAAUCGAAGCCGUGCGGUGGUAUGGACUUCUUG